GUGGUUGGGAAUUAUGACUGCAAUCCAGAACGACUCACUCCAACUAAAAGCGCCCCUCGGAUCAGACAACUGCAACAGGGCUUCUAUUCCAACAGCAACGCUAAAGAAGUCUGAGUUGAAGCCCUGAUUCACAUGGGUUUGUGUCCAAGUCCAGAGAUCAUCUUUUAAGGCACACCACAUCCUUUCAGGGAUGAAGGGGAGACUGGCAUGCGGCACUAGUGACUUGGAAGAGCCCCGUGGCUUCAGUGGUACAGUAAGCGAGAGCAUUACACCGGGAGGAGCGGAACCAGAAGUGCUGCCUCAUUUUUCAGCCUUCUUCAGUCUCAGAGGUGUGAAUUUAAAAGCAAACCUUUUUGGCUACAGCAGUUCUCUGUCGCUGGCAACAGCAGCUGUAACUGGAGAUUUAUUCUGAGUCAGAUGGGCUGCGCAGGAAAACGGGCCUGGGGUGACUCUGCCGGUGCCUCGGGAGAGCGGAUAUUUCCAGAGGGAAGCAUUACUGCUAGCGUGAGAGUUCGGCUCCUUGUGUUUUUACAGAACGGAAGCAUUUAGCAUUAAGAUGGAGGCCCUUGCUGAACUGAACUUAUAACACUCUUGCAAAAUAUGAUUGUCUACGCUGAUUGUCUCUAAGAAAUGGAUGUUUGUAGAAAAAAAAUUGAUAAGAAUUAUUAUCUGGUAUCCUCAUGGUACAGGACACGACGGAAGGUUAAGAAUGUAAGGGCUUAACAACAACGGAGUGGGUAAGAAAUUUAAUAUGUAAAAAUGAGCCUCACAACAGCUUUGGGAUAGGUUGUAAACUUUGGGAGAGGGUGGUCUUGCUUUGAGACGAACGGUAUAAAGAUUGCGGGGGUUUUGACAAAUGCUGAGCACUUUUCUUGUUGUUAGAAGGAGGCGCUCCUUAAUAAAUAACUAAUGCUGCUUCACAAGAUGCGUGCCUCAGUUUACCCAGUUGACUCAUGAGCGUUUCUCACACUGGAAACAGAGUCCGGGAGCUCAGGUGGGCUCAGCAGUGCUGGCGAACGCACAUUUAGGGCGUGGGAUGCGGUGCAGCUGCCGAACAGCAGAGGAGCGGGAUCUGAGAUGCUCGAGAUCUUCAGCAUGUAAUUAAUCCCCGGCUGUGACACGAUGCUGGACAUUUCAGGGCAGGGAGACCGCAGCAGAGG